rnacentral:rRNA from 1 species
GACGAACCGUGCAACCGUUGUUCGGAAUCACUGGGCUUAAAGGGCGCGUAGGCGGGUCAUCAAGUCCGGGGUGAAAUCUUUCGGCUUAACCGGAAAAUAGCCCUGGAUACUGGUGGUCUUGAGGGAGGCAGGGGCAGCGGGAACUUCCGGUGGAGCGGUGAAAUGCGUUGAUAUCGGAAGGAACGCCGGUGGCGAAAGCGCGCUGCUGGACCUUUUCUGACGCUGAGGCGCGAAAGCCAGGGGAGCAAACGGG